rnacentral:lncRNA from 1 species
UUCUGAAUAACUGUCAUAACCAGGAGAUUUAAGACCUCACCAAAAACCAGUAGAUGUUCAGAAUCCACUGGACAGAAGUCAGUUAUGAUAUAGCAAUCCCAUUUAAUCUGUGGAGAGAUCUGUGUAAACGAGACAACUUAAAAGGAAUAUAUAGAUGAGAUUUCUUUUUAUACACAGCAUGCUUGGCUCCAGGCCGCCCCAUCAUCCCCUCCAGAUGCUUGGGCCUGUCCUUAGGGCUCUGGAUCGCCAGACUCCAACGGCCGCGCAGCCUUCGCCUCCGCGCCGCCUGCCUCCCGGGACAAUUCGGCCCCGCAGGCGCUUCCAGGGGGGCGUCCCCGUCCGCUCCUGCCCUUGAGGCUUUGGGAGCGCCCGCUGGGGAGCCGGAGCUCCGCAGGGCACCCGGGCGUCCCGGCCGCUGAACGCGCGCCCCCAGUCCUGCGUCCCACAGCGGCUCUUAGGGGCAGGAGCCGAGCCGGGGCGGCGAGGCCGGGCCGGGGGCGCACGGCGCCCACAAAAGUGCGGGCUUCCCCCACCCCCGGCGGCGACCCCACCUCCCGCCCCCGCUGCGUGCGCGCGGGUGUCCGUCUGUCUUCUCUCUCGACGUCAGUGGGAAUUUCCAGCCAGGAAGUGAGAGAGUGAGCGAGAGAGAAAGAGAGAGAAGUGCACCAGCGAGCCGGGGCAGGAAGAGGAGGUUUCGCCACCGGAGCGGCCCGGCGACGCGCUGACAGCUUCCCCUGCCCUUCCCGUCGAUCGGGCCUCUCGCCGCCGCCGCCGCCGUCGCCGCCCUCGGCCUGCGCCCCGCCGCCGGCCCCGCUCCGAGAGCCCAGCGCAGCCCAGGCCGGAGACGCCGCGGCCGGGAAGGCGGCACUGCCGCGGCCCGGCCACCGCGCGCCCUGCGCUUCCCUCCGCCCGCGCUGCGGACAUGGCGCGGCGCUGACUGGCCCGGCCCGGCGAGACCGCGCGCCCGCUCGCCCGGACCCGACCCGACCCGCACCGGACCCGCUCCGGCUCCGGCCGGCCGCUGCUUUUUCCUUCAACGGCCCGCAGGCCCGCGCCGCCCGGGAGGGGAGCCCACAGGCGCAGGGAGGCCGAGCGCGGACUCGCCACCACGCUCCAGAAUGGCAGAAGACGAUACAUAUUUGGGAGGGCAUGAACAAGUAAGUAUUAUAAUCUCACUGAUAAUUUUUUUGUAAAUGUAUUCAUAUUUUUAAAUAUACAGAGGCAGCAGUAGUAGUUAUCAGGAAAACUCUAAAAUUGGUAGAAAUUUAUUUUAAAUUGUUUUUGCAGUUUCCCUGUCCCUCCAUGUGAGGUCAGAGAGGACGUGUCAUAUAAAAUGAGUAACUUAAACCCUCCUAGCACACGUACUAUUGCAUAAAAAUUAUAUAUGCUACGGGUCAAAUGAUAACUACCAUAUUAGUUUCCCAGGGCUACUUUAACAAAUGAUCACAAACCAGGUGGCUUAAAAAAAAAAACAAAAACACAGAAAUAUAUGGG